CUAAUCAUGGAGCUGUAAUAGGGGUUAAACAGUAGUCCUAUAAAUCUAAUCAUGGAGCUGUAAUAGGGUUUAAACAGUAGUCCUAUAAAGCUAAUCAUGGAGCUGUAAUAGGGUUUAAACAGUAGUCCUAUAACUCUACCCUGGUCCUCACUAAUCAUGGUGCUGUAAUAGGGGUUAAACAGUAGUCCUAUAACUCUACCCUGAUCCUCACUAGUCAUGGAUCUGUAAUACACCAGUCCAGUUGUUGUGAAGCGUGCGCCAGGCUCCAGGUUUAAACUGCUACGUGUGGUCUGAGUUCCAUAAUGAUUCCAAUAGACGACAUGUCCCAGAUUAUUACCCACCGUUAGUCUGAUGAGAUCUGGUAACGCUAACGACCCUCGGGGACAACGAACCACACAGACAUGACAGGGGAAGGAAAAACUACAUGGACUGGAAUGAUUUGCUAAAUGUAAGGUACAAAUUGAAGAAAAUUAAACGCUAAAGUGACAGUUGUUAUAAAUGUAUGUGGGUAUAACUGACGGUGUCUCCCGAUUUUUAGUGGCUAAUAUUUAACAUUUAUACAAAUAAAACAAGAGAAAUUCUCGGGCGUAUAAUUGAAACAUUCUAAAGAGCAAACAUUAAACUGGGCAGGUAGCUCUGCUUGGGUCUCCACGUUUCAUCCACGCAAAUUAUGAGGGCACACAAUUUAAAAUUCAGAGUAACGGCACAAUUUAUUUAUAUCCUACUUCACUGUGGAAAAGGGGAGUAAUCUACGUGUGAUGUUGAUUAUGAUUUUAAACUUGGUUUCCACAUGACUGGUUUCAUAUUUGUCUCCAGAGAUCAUAAGGAAAAAUCAAUUGCUAUGUGUGUUUACAAUUCACUGCUCCAAACGGGUUACUGAUAUACCUAGAUCAACAGGUCUUAUCCGUAGAUCUUAUCCACAAUAGGUCUUAUCCACAAUAGGUCUUAUCCACAAUAGGUCUUAUCCACAAUAGGUCUUAUCCACAACAGAUCUUAUCCACAACAGGUCUUAUCCAUAAUAGGUCUUAUCCACAAUAGGUAUUUUCCAUAGGUCUUAUCCAUGUUUAAAUGACAGCGUAUAGAAAUAACAGCAUUCUCUAUCCGGAAUAAAUAAAGCAGAUGCUUUUUCCACUUGGCAGGUUCUCUCAACCUUUUUCCUGGUUUCCUGGCGUGUACUACAGGAGCACGUAAAGGUGGUAGAAUUAUGAGGGGAAUUAAGGCAAGGUCAGAAUCCAGUGUAUCUGUAGACACCCCUCCAUUAAUCCACCCCUCCAUUAAUCCACCCCUCCAUUAAUCCACUCCUCCAUUAAUCCACCCCUCCA
rnacentral:lncRNA from 1 species